UUGUCACCUAACAGUGAGACCGGUGGGAAAUGUCAGCAACGGUGACUUUGGGGGAUAGUUUCUCCCAGUAAGGAAGGCAAAUUCUACAAAAAGAAUGAAGCACAGCAGACAAAGUGAAGCGCUGGUUUUUACAAGCCUGAGGAAGGCGAGGAAGUCUGUCUGCAAUGUCUGCUGCAUCCAUCUUAUAGUGACCACUCCUGGAAAUGGUAUCACUGCUUCAGCCCCCUUGUCCCUGCUUACAGAACAAGGACACCUUGCCACAACAGGCACCAGUUAACUCAAUGAUUUUUUUACUGGUGGGAAAGUGGAGCAAAAGUUCUGGU